rnacentral:rRNA from 1 species
GAUGAACGCUGGCGGCGUGCCUAAUACAUGCAAGUCGAGCGAACAGACGAGGAGCUUGCUCCUCUGACGUUAGCGGCGGACGGGUGAGUAACACGUGGAUAACCUACCUAUAAGACUGGGAUAACUUCGGGAAACCGGAGCUAAUACCGGAUAAUAUAUUGAACCGCAUGGUUCAAUAGUGAAAGACGGUUUUGCUGUCACUUAUAGAUGGAUCCGCGCCGCAUUAGCUAGUUGGUAAGGUAACGGCUUACCAAGGCGACGAUGCGUAGCAGGCCUGAGAGGGUGACCGGCCACAGGGGAAAUGAGAUAGGGACAAGACGGCGACGGGAGGCAGGAGUGGGGAAUAGUGAACAAUGGGAGGAAGCGUGAGGAAGCAAUGAAGAGAGCGGGAAGACGGGCUUCGGGAUGUAAACAGAGUGCGCAGGUGAAGAAGCGGGAGUGACGGGAAUGGAUAAAGAAGAAACGGAUAAAGACGUG